GGUUGGUUCCUUCUGAAGACUGUGAAGGAGAAUCUGUUCCAGGCCUUUCUCCCAGUUUCUGGUAACCUCAGACACGGCGGGCAGAUCACUUGAGGCCAGGAGUUUGAGACCAGCCUGGCCAACAUGGCGAAACCCCAUCUCUACUAAAAAUACAAAAAUUAGCUGGGUGUGGUGGCUGUGCCUGUAAUCCCAGCCAUGCAGGAGGCUGAGGCAGGAGAAUCACUUGAACCCAGGAGGCAGAGGUUGCAGUGAGCCAAGAUUGCGCCACUGCACUCCAGCCUGGGCAGCAGAGCGAGACCUUGUUUCAAAAAAAAAAAAAAAAGAAAAAGAAAGAGUUUACAUUUAAAAUUGAUUGGUUAAAAUAGAAUCUAAUGAUCCCAAAGAGUUUUUGUUUUGUUUUGUUUUGUUAUUCUAGUAGUUGAUAGCACAACACGGUGACAGAGUCAACAACAAUUUAUUGCACAUUUUAAAAUAACUACUUGGGUGCAGUGGCUUAUGCCUGUAAUCCCUGCACUUUGGGAGGCAGAGGUGGGCGGAUCAUUUGAGCUCAGGAGUUUGAGACCAGUUGUUUUUCUUCUGCUUUUUCUAAAAUACAUGCACAUAUUUUAGAUUAUUCAGAGGUCAAAAGAAGAAACCAAAAGUCACAUUUCACCAUCCAGAUAUCACAACUGUUAACGAUGAGGUAACCAGAAUGGCAAUGACAAUGACCCAGGGUCACUGUCUCUUGGCUGUAGUUUCUUAUGGCCACCUUAAGACGACAGUUGUCCACUCUUUUUCUCUAUGCUGUUUCAAAAAAGGGGAUUAUACUGAACAUUGUUUUUUGUAAAUUGCCUUCUCUCCCAAAUGUAUACAUAGUAGUUGUUUGGUUCAAGGGCAGAAGAGUGUGUAGCAGAUGUUCAAUCCAGCCAGAUCUAGAAACUCAAGCCAUUAAAAAAUACAGCUAGCAGCAAAUCAUGCAAGAAAAUAUGUUUCAAGGGCACUUCAAGAACAAUGAGUACUUUCUCAAGACAGACAGACAGAGAGAGGAGGUCAGAUUCAUUAAGGUUUUCGGGCCGGGCUUGGUGGCACACGCCUGUAGUCCCAGCUACUCCAGAGGCUGAGGCAAGAGAAUCACUUGAACCUGGGAGGUGGAGGCUUCAGUGAGCCAAGAUCCCGCCACUGCACUCCAGCCUGGUUGGCAGAGCAAAACUCUGUCUCAAAAAAAAAAAGAAAAGAAAAGAAAAAAGAAAAUAUUUGAAUAAGUAUGUUACAAUGUCACAUAAGUAUAUUUAAAAUUUUUUGAACUGAAGUAAUUAAUUGAUGUGUUAAUGUGUAACAUUAGGAAUAAUGUUUUCAGCUGGGCAUGGUAGCUCACGCCUGUAAUCCCAGCACUCUGGGGACCGAGACGGGCAGAUCAUUUGAGGCCAGGAGUUCAAGACCAGCCUGGCCAACUGGUGAAACCCCUUCUCUACUAAAAAUACAAAAAUUAGACAGGUGUGGUGGCAGGCGCCUGUAAAAAUCACAAGUACUUUAGCUUUAGAUGAGUCAUUUGAUAUAAUAGACACUGCCCAAUUAAUACUUUGGGUACUUUGUCUCAAAGGACUUCAAAUUUAUGAAGAAAUGUCAAUUCAUAGCCUAAAAGAAACUUAACACGCGGCAUGGAUAUUUUUAAAUCU
rnacentral:lncRNA from 1 species